rfam:Brachybacterium muris TCD-AY4 contig_17, whole genome shotgun sequence.
UCGGUUCUGGUUCACGGCGCCCGCCGGGUGCCGACCCAGCGACC